AGCAGCCGCGGUAAUUCCAGCUCCAAUAGCGUAUAUUAAAGUUGUUGCAGUUAAAAAGCUCGUAGUUGAAUUUCGGGGUUAGUAGGUUGGUCGUGCCUUUGGUAUGUACUGGUCUCACUGAUUCCUCCUUCUUGAAGAACUGUAAUGUCAUUAAUUUGGUGUUGCAGGGAAACAGGACUGUUACUUUGAAAAAAUUAGAGUGUUUAAAGCAGGCUAACGCCUGAAUACAUUAGCAUGGAAUAAUGAAAUAGGACGUUUGAUCCUAUUUUGUUGGUUUCUAGGAUUGACGUAAUGAUUAAUAGGGAUAGUUGGGGGCAUUAGUAUUCAAUUGUCAGAGGUGAAAUUCUUGGAUUUAUUGAAGACUGACUACUGCGAAAGCAUUUGCCAAGGAUGUUUUCAUUAAUCAAGAACGAAAAUUAGGGGAUCGAAGACGAUCAGAUACCGUCGUAGUCUUAACCAUAAACUAUGCCGACUAGGGAUCGGAUGAUGUUAAUUUUUUAAUGACUCAUUCGGCGCCUUACG
rnacentral:rRNA from 1 species